UACGUAGGGAGCGAGCGUUGUCCGGAUUCAUUGGGCGUAAAGAGCUCGUAGGCGGCUUGGUAAGUCGGAUGUGAAACCUCCAGGCUCAACCUGGAGUCGCCAUCCGAUACUGCUAUGGCUAGAGUCCGGUAGGGGCCCACGGAAUUCCUGGUGUGAGCGGUGAAAUGCGCAGAUAUCAGGAGGAACACCGAUGGCGAAGGCAGAUCUCUGGGCCGUAACUGACGCUGAGGAGCGAAAGCAUGGGGAGCGAACAGG
rnacentral:rRNA from 1 species